UCACCCCUCAAGCCCUGUGCUUGGUGUUGGACGGCAGGUCGAGGAUCCCCCCGACCCCUCCUAAAGUCAAUGACGGCGGCCUGUGGCUCCCCCGGUACACUGAGCUUCCGAGCACGUACCGGACGAGGGCGCCCGGGACCCGGUCUUCUCCUCUCGCGAGGAACUAUUUUUCAA
rnacentral:misc_RNA from 1 species